AUGUGUAUCCCAAAGGAGAGAGGAGGGAUGGGAUUUCGGGACAUUCAGAGCUUCAACUUGGCGAUGCUAGAGAAACAGUGUUGGAGAUUAAUUGACAACUAUGAUUCUCUAUGUGCUCGAGUCUUACGAGCCAAGUAUUACCCCACGGGAGAUAUACUAAACAGCCAAUUAAAUAAGGGUUCGUCCUAUGUGUGGCAGAGCAUCUGGUCAGGAAUUCAAACUUUC
rnacentral:rRNA from 1 species